rnacentral:rRNA from 1 species
GACGAACCGUACGAACGUUAUUCGGAAUCACUGGGCUUAAAGGGUGCGUAGGCUGCGCAGCAAGUUGGGUGUGAAAUCCCUCGGCUUAACCGAGGAACUGCGCCCAAAACUGCUGUGCUCGAGGGAGAUAGAGGUGAGCGGAACUUAGGGUGGAGCGGUGAAAUGCGUUGAUAUCCUAAGGAACACCGGUGGCGAAAACGGCUCACUGGAUCUCUUCUGACGCUGAGGCACGAAAGCUAGGGUAGCGAACGGG